UUUAUGAAACUUGACCCUCUGCACUGCUCCUCAAGACUUCUUAACGCAACCACCUUACAGCAGUUAAUUCACUUAUCCCUGCUAAGGACUAUUUUGAUUUAAGAAACUCUGUUAUAUCCUAUUUCCUACAACUGACGAGUCUUUCGUAGCCUGGGUCGGUUCAAAGCGAGUAGGCUAUUACUGCUAGCCAGAGUUUGCACGAUUUCCACAGGCGCUAUUCACCUGUGUGUGUGUUGAAAAACGAAAUGUCAGAAUAUUACCAAAGCACCCUGGACGUUUUGCACUAUACUACCUAUAAAGUCUCGUAAUGAACGAACCGCGCGAGUAUUUAAUAUUUAAUUGUACUUUCAAGCAAAUAAGCAACUAAGCUUCGAUGUAAUUUGGCAAAGAAAAUCAACGACUUAUGUUCACUAAUCCAAGUUGGGUUGUGCAUUUUCCUUGGAGAAAAGCUGCAUACCCAUAGACCGUCUGAAAGGUAUUUUCGAAAGGAUUAAAAUAAGCCUCCCUGGACUGUCUCCUGAAUCCUAGAGCAGACAACACCAUGUCUUCAGACACGAUGUGAUGCUGUCAGGAGGUGUAUGGCUGGUUCUUCCUUUCCAAAAGGCUGAUAACAAGGCCUACAGUAGCUGAUAUACAAGGUCAGACUGGCUUUGAUGUGUCUGAUGUUGAGGGCGCACUGUCUUUAUGAUUGAAAAGAUGUCUCUAAUGUUUGGUCCAAUCUCCUACCUUCAGUCAACUGCUGUGCAAGUGUAUGUAUUCUGUUCUGUUUAAAGGAGCCAUUUGGAAUGAAGUUGUGCGGUCUGUUUGGUGACCACUUUCAGCACUGUAUGGUUUAUAUAACAGUGAGUGGUAGAACUUCAGAUUU